CAGUCGCCACGGGAAUACGUAGGUGGCGAGCGUUGUCCGGAUUUAUUGGGCGUAAAGGGAGUGUAGGCGGUCUUUUAAGUCUGAUGUGAAAGCCCACGGCUCAACCGUGGAGGGUCAUUGGAAACUGGGAGACUUGAGUGCAGAAGAGGAGAGCGGAAUUCCAUGUGUAGCGGUGAAAUGCGUAGAUAUAUGGAGGAACACCAGUGGCGAAGGCGGCUCUCUGGUCUGUAACUGACGCUGAGGCUCGAAAGCGUGGGGAGCAAACAGGAUUAGAUACCCCCGUAGUCCCUGUCUCUUAUAC
rnacentral:rRNA from 1 species